rnacentral:rRNA from 1 species
UACGUAGGCAGCGAGCGUUGUUCGGAGUUACUGGGCGUAAAGGGUGUGUAGGCGGUCCUCUAAGUUUGGUGUGAAAUCUCCCGGCUCAACCGGGAGGGUGCGCCGAAAACUGGAGGGCUAGAGUGCGGGAAGGGAGAGUGGAAUUCCUGGUGUAGCGGUGAAAUGCGUAGAUAUCAGGAGGAACACCGGUGGUGUAGACGGCUCUCUGGACCGCGACUGACGCUGAGACACGAAAGCGUGGGUAGCAAACAGGG